rnacentral:rRNA from 1 species
UACAGAGGGUGCGAGCUUAAUCGGAAUUACUGGGCGUAAAGCGCGCGUAGGCGGCUUUGCAAGUCGGGUGUGAAAUCCCCAGGCUUAACCUGGGAACUGCAUUCGAGACUGCAUUGCUAGAGUAUGGGAGAGGGAAGUGGAAUUUCCGGUGUAGCGGUGAAAUGCGUAGAUAUCGGAAGGAACAUCAGUGGCGAAAGCGACUUCCUGGACCAAUACUGACGCUCAUGUGCGAAAAGCGUGGGGGAGCAAAACAGG